rnacentral:tRNA from 4 species
UUGCGGAUAUGGUUGAAUGGUAAAAUUUCUCUUUGCCAAGGAGAAGACGCGGGUUCGAUUCCCGCUAUCCGCCCAAAAAAUAAC